CAUUUUGAAGACAAAUUCUCAUCCAACUUCCAUUUUUUUUUCUUCUUCAAUUUGUAGAGAACAUAUAAGAGAGAUUUUGGAAGAAGAAGAGGAAUUUUACUAGAAUUUUGAGGUUGAAGAAGAGAAAGAGAACUCAAGCAAAGUGUAUCCAUGGCUGAAUUUUAGAUCAUUCUGCACAUCACUGGUUUUUAAUUCAGUUUGAACUCUUCAAAAGGAAUUAAGAGGGCAGUUGGUUUUCACUCAAAAUGAGGAGGUCUCUGGUUUUUCUUGUAUUUCAGAGUGUACCUGGGGAGUUAGAAUCUCUUUUGGAACAAGUUAAAGAGGUCGUGUGCGCGCGAUUCUGGAAGUGGUUCUGUUUUGAGGGUUAUCUGAGUUUAUGCACGGGGAAUCAGAUUUACAUGUCUUCAGGCCGAGAAGAAUUAAACCGAGCUUAUAGACCAAGGAUCUAGCCCAAGACGAUAGAGAUCGAGUUCCCGGUGCUUGAUAGACUGCCCUAGUCUGCUGAAGCUCCGUUAUCGAUUGCCAGUACGUAUUUUGAGUUGGGCAUAGAGUCUGUUGUGUUAUGAUGUAUAUACACCCUUGUAUGUUAUAGAUGCUCCACAGUUUGUAUAAGCUUUAGGAGCUGUAGUUGUGUAAAUUUUGUUGGUUAUAUUUUGAUUAAGGUGUCUUUAGGUUUACUCGUGAAAUCGGUAAAUUUUAAGGUACACUUCAUGUAUGUGUUUGACUAGCCUAGGAUCCGCUAUGUUUUGUUGCAUGUAUAAUAGUUUAUAUACUAGAUUGGCAAGUUCAUCACAUGAAAUUUUUAAGCAGAGUCGACAGGUACAGGUACAGAAAAGCGUUGUUCGUCCGCUUCACGCCAUCUUUCGGUCUAAGGUAGCAAGUAGUCCAGGAGGGGGUGUGACAACUUGGUAUCAGAGCAGUUUGCUCCAUGGGAAUUAAGGUAGAGCGGUUAGCUCUAAGAAGAAACUGGAAAGUAAAUAAUUGAAAGUCAAGUUAAAGGGAACUAGUGGAGUAUGGUCUAGGAGUCAUGCCACUACAUACUGGCAGACGACGCCGGCAGAAUCAAGACAGGAUGCAAGGUCUUACCCAAGGUCCAUCUGUAGGGGAAUCUAGUACCCUAAGAGUUCGAGGUGGGGCAGAAAAUGAGCAGUUUGCGAGAACUACACAGGAAAUAGGAAGGCCAGAUAGAGCAGAGCCUAGUGAUCCAGAAAAGGCAUACGGAAUUGAACGGCUGAAGAAGUUAGGGGCUACAGUAUUUGAGGGUUCCACAGAUCCAGCUGAUGCAGAGAACUGGUUGAAUAUGCUUGAGAAGUGUUUUGAUGUGAUGAAUUGUCCUGAGGAGCGAAAGAUUAGAUUGGCCACAUUUUUGUUGCAAAAAGAGGCUGAAGGAUGGUGUUAAUAUAUAUUAGCAAGGCGCAGUGAUGCACGUGCUUUAGACUGGCAGACUUUUAGAGGCAUAUUCGAAGAUAAGUAUUAUCCCAGCACAUAUUGCGAAGCCAAGAGGGAUGAAUUUUUGGGGUUGAAACAAGGAUCACUUUCAGUGGCUGAGUAUGAGAGGAAGUAUACCGAGCUUUCACGGUAUGCUGACGUUAUUGUGGCUUCUGAGAGUGAUAGGUUAUGAAGGUUUGAAAGAGGGUUACGUUUUGAAAUACGUACCCCAGUUACAACCAUUGCUAAGUGGACAAAUUUCUCUCAGUUAGUAGAGACUGCCCAUCGUAUGGAGCAGAGUAUAACAGAAGAGAAAUCAGCAGUGGAGCUUAGUCGUGGGACUUCAACAACUAGUGGAUUUAAUGGCUGUGAGCAGCGGAGGUUCACGCCUGGGAUAAAUAUUUUAAGCCGUCAAGAUUUUAAGAAUCGCUCUGGAGGCCAAUCAUCGAGGAACGUGAGUUAUGGUAGUGUUUUUCAGAGACAAAGCCAGAGAAUACCUAGUCAACCCAUUAGAUCAACAGUAAGAUCGCAACCAGGCCAGGAGUCCGUUGCUAGUAUCGUCAGGCGAACACCAUGCACGAAUUGUGGCAAGAACCAUCGGAGCUGUAGUUUGUAUAAGCUUAAGGAGCUGUAGUUGUGUAAAUUUUGUUGGUUAUAUUUGGAUUAAGGUGUCUUUAGGUUUACUCGUGAAAUCGGUAAAUUUUGAGGUACACUUCAUGUAUGUGUUUGACUAGCCUAGGAUCCGCUGUGUUUUGUUGCAUGUAUAAUAGUUUAUAUACUAGAUUGGCAAGUUCAUCACAUGAAAGUUUUAAGCAGAGUCGACAGAUACAGGUACAGAAAAGCGUUGUUCGUCGGCUUCACGCCAUCUUUCGGUCUAAGGUAACAGGUAGUCCGGAAGGUAGUGUGACACCUAGUCUCAGCUGGACAACCCCAUAGAUGAAGAUGCCUAAUGCUAGGCUUCUUUUCUGUCCACAACUCAUCAUGGGUUUUAACUAUUACUUUAUUAGGUACCCUAUUGAGGAUAUAUGUUGCAGUCUUUAGUGCCACACCCAAGUGUUCUAUUUUACCCUUCCACUACACUGUUCAUGUUGGGUUUCCCUGGCAUAGUGUACUGUGGGAUGAUUCCACAUUUCUCUAGGUAUUUGCAAAGGGUCCUGGACGUUGUUCACCUGAUCCAUCAUAUGUACUGUAGUAUUCACCACCACGGUCAUACUUGACAGCCUUAAUUUUCUUUCCAAGUUGAAGUUUAACUUCAUCUUUAAAAGACUUGAAAACGUCCAAAGAUUGAGACUUCUCAUGAAUUAAAUAUAGGUACCCAUAUCUUGAAUAAUCGUCUAUGAACGUAAUAAAGUAUUGUUGUCCACUCCAAGAAGCCGUAGGGAAUGGUCCACAAAUGUCUGUAUGUAUUCGUUCUAAGAUGUCUCAACAUCUAUUGGCACCUAGUUUUCUUAUGUU